rnacentral:rRNA from 1 species
GACGAACGCUGGCGGCGUGCUUAACACAUGCAAGUCGAACGGAAAGGCCCUGCUUUUGUGGGGUGCUCGAGUGGCGAACGGGUGAGUAACACGUGAGUAACCUGCCCUUGACUUUGGGAUAACUUCAGGAAACUGGGGCUAAUACCGGAUAGGAGCUCCUGCUGCAUGGUGGGGGUUGGAAAGUUUCGGCGGUUGGGGAUGGACUCGCGGCUUAUCAGCUUGUUGGUGGGGUAGUGGCUUACCAAGGCUUUGACGGGUAGCCGGCCUGAGAGGGUGACCGGCCACAUUGGGACUGCGAUAGGGCCCAGACUCCUACGGGAGGCAGCAGUGGGGAAUAUUGCACAAUGGGCGGAAGCCUGAUGCAGCAACGCCGCGUGCGGGAUGACGGCCUUCGGGUUGUAAACCGCUUUCGCCUGUGACGAAGCGUGAGUGACGGUAAUGGGUAAAGAAGCACCGGCUAACUACGUG